rnacentral:rRNA from 1 species
GACGUAGGAGGCGAGCGUUGUCCGGAAUUACUGGGCGUAAAGGGCGCGUAGGCGGUCUAUUAAGUUGGAUGUGAAAACUCUGGGCUUAACCCAGAGCCUGCAUUCAAAACUGAUAGGCUGGAGUUCUGGAGGGGAUAGCGGAAUUCCUGGUGUAGCGGUGAAAUGCGCAGAUAUCAGGAAGAACACCAAUGGCGAAAGCAGCUUUCUGGGACGGUACUGACGCUGAGACGCGAAAGCGUGGGGAGCGAACAGG